CCAAUGGGCUGAGUUUUUCCAGCGGCUGACUGAGCACGUCCGUCGCCCGAGGACGCCGCCCGGCCGUGGGGACAGGGGCAGGCGUGCCGCAUUGUCUGCCGUGCCACGGGGACGUGGUGAAGUGGCAGCCUCCGGGCUGGACGGUGUUCUCCCUUUGAGGCUGCAGAGCUUUUAUUAGUCAGGCGGAAUCAGAAAGAGGAAAAGACUGGUUUCUAGCUUUCUUGUGCAUAUAAGGUAUCCUUGCAACUAAGCCCGUAACCAUUGACUUGAACUGCACAGCAGCCCCCAGACCUAACAACGCCCACCCCGUCUUGGGGGCUGUGUCUCUGGACGCUUCCUUCCUCAGGGGGUCAGGCGUCAAAGCUGGCGUUGAGGGGAGCGUGCUGGGGUCUCUUUCCCACGGCUCCUGGGGGCGGGGGUGGGGGGGGCAGAAGGGAAGUAGAAGAGCGUCCUGUCUGCUCUCGACACAGCAGGUCCACGGGCUUCUGCGGCGCAAAGAAGCGAUGAGCCGAGCCUGCUGUCCCCCUCCGUUGCCUGCCUUGGCCGCCCAGGUGGCUGCGGCAUCUCUGGCUUUUCACAGGGAAACACGGCUGCCGUCGGGCAGCCUUGGCAGGCGUCUGAGGGGCGAGCAGGCUGCGGGGUCCCGGCGGCCGGCCCCGCUCCGGACGGCACCUCUCAGCAGCGCGUUCCACGCUGUUGUCGUGCCUUUGUGCGUCAGGGACGCAGGGAGGAAGCGCUUCCUAAGCAGCCAGACCCUGAGAUCUCGCCUGUCCUCGCGCCAUCCGGCCCCGUCUGUCACUUGCUGCGCGUUUCUCUGCCGAGAAGCGGGGUUCGCUGGCGGUCGUUUGAGCGCGUGUCCCCUGCAGUCUGUGCUAACCUGCUGCGUCUGAUGGCCCGCGAGUGACAGGUUUGCCAGAGAAACGGCGCAGUGCUGACGCAGCCGUCUCAGGCAGCCUUUUCACCGAGCUUGAGGCGAAGCGUUCAGGCAGGUUGCGAAAAGCCGCGAUGGACGGCUUCCCCUAAGCGUUGGUUUGUUCAGCGGUAACGCGCGUGUCCUUCCCACGGCCCUGCUGCCAAGAGGGUCAGCUGGCCCUCGAGGGUCUCCCCACGUCUGCGACCCUGCCGCCCGUCCUUGCUCCGUAAGAAGGGCGGGUCCGUCCCGUCCAGUGGAGCAGCACGCGCCGGAGCCGGAGCGCCCUCCGGGUCACGGCAGCCCUGAGUUGGGGCCGUUUCGGUGGAGGCGAGGCUGGUGCUUCCUGCCACGAGCCCUUCUCACGUACAGUGAAUUCCGAUGACCGCGGUAGCUCUUCCUUCUCGGGCCUCCCAGCCAGCACGUGAGAGCAUUUAGAAACCUCCCUCCCUACAAGCCACGUUCCGAGGGCGUGUUAUUUACGAGAGCUGGUGCCGGGUUGUGGCCCAGGGACCGUUCCUUUUGAAGAGCAAGGAGGCCUGACUGCGAAAGCUUCCAGUUCUGUCUCUGGAGCUGGACGGGCGAGGGAUAAAGACGGGUUUUCCGGAGUUCAGCUUAAGUGAGGUUGAGGCAUUGAGCCCCUCCACCUUACCCAGGCAAAGUGAAAACUGUGACCGUGCAGAGUCAUUUUGAAUCCGCUCCGACAUCCUAAACAGGUUAAAUGUUCCUGAGAAACAAACCCUGGGCGUAAGGCGUCUGUCGGACGGACCGGGACCUUUCAGCAUCCCACCUGCCUUGUGGCUCCAUGCACUGCAGCGUCGCUUUUCUGCGGGUGGAGCUUGGCCCCCCGUUGACACGGGAAGGCCUUGCUGUUGGGAGGACGGCGGUUUCCCGGGUGCUAAAGGGCCGUCUUGGCGGUGAUGGAGCCCUUGGCUAGAUGUCAUGGUGCCCUUUUAGGACUUAAGGCGGGAUUUCAGAAAGGUUAGCUGCUCUCCGUGGGUUUGUGUUUUGCUUGUUGUUCGUGGUCAGCGUUUCCGCCUUCUCUGCAGUCCCGGGAGUGUCACAGUCACAUCAGAGCGUCCUGGUUGUCAUUCAUGUGCCAUCCCUCCUGUCCCGUCCCCCCCGCCCCCCCCCGAGCAGGCGGGUGCCCACAUCUGAGGCCGUCUGGCAGAGUGACGAGCAGGUGUUAGGAUGAUCCCAUGAUGUAGCAAAUACUGUCGCAGCCAAGACAGAAAGAAAAGGCCAAAGACUUUGGAAAGGCUCUUAGAAGGAGAGUGACUUGGUUUGACCUUUCCCUGACAUUUCUGUCCGUCCCUGGUGUAAACUGUUCUGGAGCCGUACGCAGUCGGCAGGUUCCUGGCUUGUUCUUCUACCCAGACAAGUGCAUACGGGAUUCUGCUUUGGAAAGCUGUUUGUAGGACUUUCGAAGAUUUCCCAAUUUAAACCUCACCUCUGCUUGGUUUGACGUCUGCCUGUACUUACCUGUUAAGAUGUUUUAACUGCUGGUGUUUAAAGGAAUCAAACAGGAGGCCAGAGCCUAAGGCACCCGCGACACCCAUGUCUCCGCCCGUUUUCUUGCUCAAGGAUGUAGACUGGGUUCAACACGGGAUGGUGUACACGCGUGAUGGGUACAGAGACCUCUUGCCCGCGCUGAACUGGCGUCUAAGUGCAGCACGUUCUCAGCACUUGCUGAUAAUGCACAAAACAGUGGCCACGCUGCUGGUGUGAUUGGAAUGGAAGUGCACUCGUGACGGGUAAAGCUCGGAGAAGCAGCGGCGCGGGAUGCGCCUGGGGCUGAGGCGGCGAAGGCUGAGGUUCCGAGGCCGUGCAAAGACCCUCUCCGAGCCACGGAGGGGGAGCAGAGAGGGACCCAGCUGAAUGGGGUCCAGCCGCUGGUCGGCCCCACACCUCAGUUUGAGAGCAAGGUCCCAACUGGAUUCUGAUUCUAGAAGAGGGGGUGCAGGUUGACCAGAGCUGGAAGAGGCGGGGCGCACUGGUACCCAAGGCUGGUGCCGAAGCCGAAGACCCCCCACCUUUUCCGGAGCCCUAGACAGUGACUCUAGCCCCUGACGGUGGUAGGGCUGGCAGGUGUCUAGCUGGCUUUUUUUUCUUUUCUUUUCUUCCCUAAGGAGUGAAGGAAAAGGAGAUUUGGCACCGUCUGUCUUGGCUCUUAAGCAUUAGGAGACACCGAAGCCAGGCUUUGUUGGCAGAUUUACAGCCUGAGCUUGAACCUGGCAGGGUCUGCGGUGAGGUCCUGGGGCUUUUCUCACGGGGUGGCCGCGUUUGAACAGGAAUGGUGAUGCUCUCAGCUGGCGUGGCUGUCCUGGCGCAGCAGAGGCGAGUCUGACUCGUAUCCAUGCGGGGUAUCAGCCGAGUAGCGUGUCUCAGAAGCACAGUGCCUGGGCGAGAGCCCCGGUCUGGGUAGGAAAGGGAGAGAAGGCCGUCGUGCGUCCCGGGGGCGUCACGGGAGCCUGGACGUCGGCAGGAUGAAUGCAGCGGGCUCCGUGGUCCUCGUCGGCGUCCUCCGUCACUUGCUUUCCUCUCCGUCUUGCUGUGCACGAGCCGUGCCUUCAAUGUGCCGACACCUGCUGGGGACCGGCGCGGCCGUCUAGGGCCUGGCCGGGUGCCGGGCCUGCAGCGCUAAAGCCAGCAGGUGGGCCGAGGGUCGCCCUGCUCGUAACGCCCGCGGGCACGUGGAGCUCCUUUCGGGAGGGGCUGAGCUGAGCCUGGGUGGAGGUCUGAGAGGGAGGCAGGCCGCUGAGGCCCAGCGGCAGGCACGGGUGCCCUGGUCCGGGUCUGCUCAGGGAGGGCUCGCAGGCGGCGGGAUGAGAGCCCGAGCCGUGGGACUCGGACUUGGCUUAAUUUUUCUGUUCUUUAGUGCUUCAUUUUUUUUUCUUCUCCUGUUUGAUCCGUUCUCAUGAUGCCUUAUUUGAAACUGGGCUUUAAGAACUGCAAAAAGGGAGCAAACUGGAUCUAGAAAGCUUUAAAGCUCUGAAUGCACUUGCCUUUUUUUUUUGUAUAAGAAUUUUAGAUAAUCAUGAAUCAUUCCUUUGAGUGCUAAGAACGAAAAGGAAAAUUAUAAUGCAGUAGGCCAAAAUAAUAGGCCAGCUGAUUUGGUUAGCAUCGCUAUUACUAAGGUAAAAGACGGAGUUCCCGUCGUGGCUCAGUGGUAACGAACCCGACUAGUAUCCAUGAGGACGUGGGUUCGAUCCCUGGGUUAAGGAUCCGGCGUUGCCGUGAGCCGUAGUGUAGGUCGGAGACCUGGCUCGGAUCUGGCGUUGUUGUGGUUGUAGGCCGGCAGCUGCAGCUCUGAUUCGAACGCUGGCCCGGGAACUUCCUGCAGCAAAAGUGAAAUAGUGCUGAAAUACUAUAAGUAUACAAUUUUAGUGUUUUUUUUUUUUUUUUUUAAUGUUAGUUACUUUAGAAAUGGAGAAUUUAGACAUAGGAGUAGGCAAAUUAUUUUUAUAAGAUCAUUUUUAUCCUGACAAGGACAAUUUUUUAAAGUGUUUGGCACCUGAAAAUAAAUCGUUAGGAGAAUUAGAGAAGCACAUAUCAAAUGGUGGUUUUUUUUCGGUGUGUGUUUUAGUCUUUUCUUGGCGUUGUGAGACAGGAGGGAGGCGUGUGGAUGGAGAGAGCUGGCCAAGGAAGGGCACUGAUGCCUUCCUGGAGAUGCCCUGCUGUACAUCUGCUCUGGAAUCUGUAUAACUUUCUUGGACUUGAAUUAUGGCUCUGAAAUUGGCUGAAGAAUUACGAUCGUAUUAAAAAUACCAAUAGGAGAAUUUCUAACGGAGGGCUUUUUACUUGGCAAACGAACAGCUGGCUUCAGCCAGAGAGGAUUUUUAGCAGCAAUUUUAAGAAGCUCCUUUUAGGGAGGUUCUCCGACGCCACCUCUCCGGUCCGUAAAGUAAUGAGUCGCUUGGAAUGAAACCCUCUUGCCUUGUCAGCUCACAUCCGUUGGAAGUUCCUGGUUGAGUUCUGACACUGCCAUGAUUUGUCAAAAAUUAGUGUGCACGAAUCAGUGUGUAUAAAACUUCCUUUUUGGGUCUCCUUUGCCGUUUCUCAUAUAAGCCCAGGCGAUACCAGCGUGACAGGUGAAGGAACCUAAAAUCCCAGCCUAAGGACACUGCCUUUCUUCGUAGUUAUUCAAGGCUGAUGACUUUGUGGAAUUUGUCUUAUACCACGUAUGUCUUUUUUAAUUAAAGAAAGUGCCUUGAUGCAAUUCCGCUGAAAUCGCGUCUGGCCCCCUGUGGAGUGAGGGUGGGUUCCGGACGGAUUUUGCAGCCUCCGUUGCAGGAGAGGGGAGUCAGUCAGAGGCAGGCCCUGUUCUUCUGAUCUCUGUUGGUGAUGUUUAUCUCAUAAGAUCCUGUAUGUAUUGAGAUUCAGAGAUGUCAUUUCAUUUGUCUGCUAAUAAAUUGUUGCGUUC
rnacentral:lncRNA from 1 species